rnacentral:rRNA from 1 species
GAUGAACGCUAGCUACAGGCUUAACACAUGCAAGUCGAGGGGUAACGAGAGGGAAGCUUGCUUUCCUUGUUGACGACCGGCGCACGGGUGAGUAACGCGUAUCCAACCUGCCCCCAACUAAGGAAUAACCUUGCGAAAGUAAGGCUAAUACCUUAUAAUUUCCUCAGAUGACAUCUGACGAGGAAUAAAGAUUUAUCGGUUGUGGAUGGGGAUGCGUCUGAUUAGCUUGUUGGCGGGGUAACGGCCCACCAAGGCAACGAUCAGUAGGGGUUCUGAGAGGAAGGUCCCCCACAUUGGAACUGAGACACGGUCCAAACUCCUACGGGAGGCAGCAGUGAGGAAUAUUGGUCAAUGGGCGGAAGCCUGAACCAGCCAAGUAGCGUGCAGGAUGACGGCCCUAUGGGUUGUAAACUGCUUUUAUACAGGAAUAAAGUUAGCCACGUGUGGUUAUUUGUAGGUACUGUAUGAAUAAGGACCGGCUAAUUCCGUGCCAGCAGCCGCGGUAA